UUAGUCGUUUUAAAUAUUAGAGCUUUUUAUUUCAUAAUAUACUCUUUCAAUAUAAUUUAAAUAGGUAUUUUGGACCAUUCAUAACUACAAUUAUAGAAAUAAUAGGAUAGUUUUGAUAACUUAUUUAGUUGGUGGUUAAAGAAUAUAACAUUAAAAUUAAUAGUAGGUCACUUUUAACACUUUUAUAAUUAGUAAUAUAAUAAGUAGGGUUACUAUUACUUGAUUAUCACAAACCGCUCGACAUUCUUACUUUUGGUUCUCGGCGCCACCAUUGCAGGUACAAGGAAAGUGUAUAGAUUGGAAACAUUCUGACAUUGAGGAAAAUAAAGGCAUUGGAGAAGUAGUUUUCUUGACUUCGAUUCUUCGGUGGAGCGAGUGUACCUAUGACUUCUGAUUUCCCUCAUCUCUAGCCAGCCUCCCGCAUAUCAAGUUCCAGGGUGAGCUAUCCAUUCAAGCUCGUGUUGGGUUCUCUCGGUCAUGACACGAUGUCUUAUACUUUCAGACACAUACCAUUUUAUUCUUUUAUUUUGGUGUAUUUGAUUUUUUUUAGACUUCGUAUUGGAGAUUAGAUGUCCUUGAUGUGAUGACUUUCAGGUUUUGGGAAAUGAUAUUUAGUAACAUCGAGUUUCCGCA